AUGAAUCAGAAUAAGAUUAAGGUGA
rnacentral:piRNA from 1 species